rnacentral:rRNA from 1 species
GAUGAACGCUGGCGGCGUGCCUAAUACAUGCAAGUCGAGCGAACAGACGAGGAGCUUGCUCCUCUGACGUUAGCGGCGGACGGGUGAGUAACACGUGGAUAACCUACCUAUAAGACUGGGAUAACUUCGGGAAACCGGAGCUAAUACCGGAUAAUAUAUUGAACCGCAUGGUUCAAUAGUGAAAGACGGUUUUGCUGUCACUGAUAGAUGGAUCCGCGCCGCAUUAGCUAGUUGGUAAGGUAACGGCUUACCAAGGCAACGAUGCGUAGCCGACCUGAGAGGGUCAUCGGCCACACUGGAACUGAGACACGGUCCAGACUCCUACGGGAGGCAGCAGUAGGGAAUCUUCCGCAAUGGGCGAAAGCCUGACGUAGCAACGCCGCGUGAGUGAUGAAGGUCUUCGGAUCGUAAAACUCUGUUAUUAGGGAAGAACAAAUGUGUAAGUAACUAUGCACGUCUUGACGGUACCUAAUCAGAAAGCCACGGCUAACUACGUG